UAAUAAUAAUAAUAAUAAUAAUAAUAAUAAUAAUAAUAAUAAUAAUAAUAAUAAUAAUAAUAAUAAUAAUAAUUUAAGUGUAUUAAAUUAUAUGUUAAUUGAUAGUUGUAAAAGUAUAUGUUUUUACAAAAAACAUUUAUGUGUGUGCAUUAUUUUUUAUUUCUAUAUACAUAUUUUCGUGCUAAUAUGACAAUAUUUUCAUUAUAAACGCUAAAAAACUUUUAUGAUCAAAUUUUAACUUUUACAAUUUAAAAUUUAACUUUUAUAAUUUCAUUUUCAUUUUGAAUAUAUGUUUGCACAUUUAUUUAUGUAUAUAAAGGAAUUAAUUUAAUAUUAUUAAACAUUUUUAAUACAUGUAACAUUUAAUGAAACGCUAUUAUACAUAUUUAAGUAAAAAUAAAAAAAAAAUAACAAUAAAAAAAAAGCAAAAAUAUAGGCAUAGAUAUACCUUUACGCGUUGUUUAUGUAUUGUGUCUACUUAUAUACAUAUGUAAAAAAAAUAAUAGCAUUAUUUACAUUUUUUAAAUUAGUAUAAAACCGAUAAAAAAGAAAAAAAAAUAAAAGAAAAAAAAAAAAUAAUAAAAUAAGAAGGAAAAUAAAUAAGCUUAUAAUUUAAUUCAAUUCAAUUUCUCCAACACAAUGUCAAAGGAACAAGGAGCAUAUUUAUUUUUUUGACAACGCUUCUAGUGGGUCUUUAUUUAUUGUAUGGAAAAAAAACAACAUUGGAUAAUGCCUUAAUUUUCGUAAAACCUACAAAAGCAGUUCCUGAGUUUAAGUAUACAAGCAAUUGUGGAAAAUCAGAAUUGUUAAGAAAUUUACAAUCUGAUAAGAAAUUAUUUUAUUCGGGCAUUUGUCGAUUUAUCAAAGAGGGAAGAGAUGUAAAUGGAGAGUUACUCUUAUUACCAUAUUUAAACGAUUCAUUCCCCAUAAAAACUAACAUUUAUUUUUUAAAAGAAAAUAAUGUAAGUUAUACAAAUAAGAAUAAAAAAGUGUACGUGACAUGUUGUGCUAACUUUUUGGUCUCAUACAUACAUGCACGCAUACACAUUUUUAAGCACAUAUAUGUAUAUAUAUAUAUAUAUAUAUAUAUAUAUAUAUAUAUAUUAGAAUUAUCUAUCUUUACAUGUAUACAUAUAAAUUAUUGUGUCUGUAUAUUUUCAUAUUACAAUCAGUUUUAAAUAAAGAAAAAAACUUUGUUAAUCAUACAUGGCUUUAAUUAAAAAAAUCAUUUUUAUAUUACCAGGUCACGAAAGUUACUCCUGGAAAGUCUUAUACAUUAAAAGAUGUUGAAGCAGUAUGUGUUUUACCAAAUGGCUCAAAUGCUUUGAAUGUCAAAACUAUGAAAACGGAUAUGUUCGUGAGUAAAGGAAAUAGCGAAGGUGCUAGCAUUCGUUUUUAAAUAUAUACGUAUGCAUACACAUAGUUCAGUUUAUUUUUAGCAAAUAUAAAGUUUUAUAAAAUUUGAAAAAAAUUAUAAAAACAACAAAAAAAAGCUAAAAUAAAAAAAAUAUAUAUAUAAAUUUUGCA
rnacentral:lncRNA from 1 species